rnacentral:rRNA from 1 species
UGGGGGAUAUUGCACAAUGGGCGAAAGCCUGAUGCAGCGACGCCGCGUGGGGGAUGAAGGCUUUCGGGUUGUAAACCUCUUUCGCUAUCGAACAAGGCCCGCUUAGGGUGGGUUGAGGGUAGGUGGAGAAGAAGCGCCGGCUAACUACGUGCCAGCAGCCGCGGUAAUACGUAGGGCGCGAGCGUUGUCCGGAAUCAUUGGGCGUCAAGGGCUUGUAGGCGGCUUGUUGCGCCUGCUGUGAAAACGCGGGGCUUAACUUCGCGCGUGCAGUGGGUACGGGCAGGCUUGAGUGUGGUAGGGGUGACUGGAAUUCCAGGUGUAGCGGUGGAAUGCGCAGAUAUCUGGAGGAACACCGAUGGCGAAGGCAGGUCACUGGGCCAUUACUGCCGCUGAGGAGCGAAAGCAUGGGUAGCGAACAGG